UAUGAUGUCAUCAUUGCAGUGCAUAGGCCAACAGUCACAAGUUAGGUCACAGUAUACUAAUAGAACAAAAUGAGAUAAAAUGAACUCAGCUGCCGGGACCAGGGGAUACUGAGUGUGUGGUGAUUUUAAGAAGUGGAGGUGGUGCGGAGCCAGACCCCCAAAACAGAUUCCCUAAGCAGGAUUUCAGGUUGGCCAGGCUUCUAUAGAUCGUUGGUCCUCAACAGUGGCUGCACAACAGAGUCACCCGGGGAGCUCUGGCAGGACACCCAUGUCCAGACCCCAAGCAUGUGGUGAAUCCUGAAAAAGUCCAAGAAAAUGGUAUUGGUUGAGAGUAGAGAUGGAGCUGGGACAGGUAAAGGCUGGCUUGGAGGCUUGUGGAGUGAGGAAGCUGGGAUACUUUUAAAGAAGAUGCUAGAUGAAAUCAACCAAAGGUGACCGAUGCAGACAGAAAAUUUUCUGAGAUUGUGGAAUGGAAAGAUUGUGAUCAACUCUCCCCAUCCUCAGUUACAGAAUAGAAGGGCCUGAAAGAUGUUAUUACUGAAGAGUGUCCAGGAAAUUCAAUGAAUAGCCCAAAUUUUCAGCCAGGUGCAGCGGAGGAACUCAUCCCACCAAAGAAGCAAGAUCAUCCCAUUCCAGUGUUUUUAUCCAUGCAACCAGCUAGGCUCAUCUUUCUCAAUGUAGGCAUUUUCACAGGGCACAUCGACUGUAGAAGGGUGGCGAGGACUGAGGGCUGAGAACUAGUUCUCUCCCAUGAUUGUGGGGUGGUACUUGCUCUCCAUGAGUCCUCAGAUAAUUCUCCAUCUUCUGAAGUGUUGCUUGUCAAGACAAACGAUUUGGAAACAAAGCACCCACCACAGUUACUGUCUCUGACACUCCUGUGGAUGGCCCAAGAAGGGGAAACCAACUGGAAGUGGGGGGCUCUGCUCACAUGCCUUGCUCCGUGAGUCAAAAGCACUCACCACCAGAAUGGUUCCUCACUCAGCCCCCAGGUCCAGAAAAAGCCUCUCCCUCUUUGAUAUCUAAGGCCUAUUCUAUUUCCCACACCAGGAUCAACUGACAAUUAAA